ensembl:lncRNA
UCUUAAAUAGCUCCCCCAUAAUACAAUGGCUGUCAGUCCUGCAGAUCAAACAGAACACUACAAUCCUCCUAAUUAAUUUUUUCUACAUCUGAUCUUUAAAAAGUUGUUUUAAAGUUAUUUCUGGAACUUUUCUAAAAACCAACAUAAAAGUUCUUCACCUACAUUUGCUUAAUUAAAUGUAGAAAAGCAAAAAAAAAAUGUAAAUUUUUGCUUUUAAAGUCUUAAAUGCCCUGACUCCUAUUUACCUGUCAGACCUUCUACACCCAUACACUCCACAAAAGUCUCUCAGAUCAACUGACCAGUCACUCCUUGCUGUCCCCAUGUCGAGACUGAAACACUGGGGGGACCGAGCUUUAGCUUUUGUGGCCCCCAAUUUAUGGAAUAAGCUGCCCCUCCAUAUUAGGCUGGCCCCAAGACUUGAAAUAUUUACAUUUCUUUUAAAAAUGUACCUUUUCUCCAAGGUGUUUUAGGAGUCAGCAUGUAGUAAGUUUUAGUUCGCUUUUGCCUGCUCUCAAUCUUUUUUACUUUGUUAAUUUUAUUUAUUGUAUAAAUAAAAUACUCAUGUUGUAUUUUAAUCAUUUGAAUAUUGACUGAUGUUUUCAUUUAUGUAUUUAUUUUAUUGUUAUUUAACUUUCUUUGUCUGUUUAAUGUAUGGUUUUUAAACUUUUAUCUCUGUUUCUUAUUGGAAAGCACUUUUGUCAACCAUGUUGUUUUUAAAAUCCUCUAUAAAUAAAGUUGGAUUGGAUUAAUUAAUCAGACAUUUGUAGAAACAGUGACAAACAGAUGAAAAGUCCAUCAUGACGUUGUGACAAAGUGGAUGAGCAGUUGCAAUGGUCUCCAUUUGUCCCUUAAGUGUUUACUUUUUUUUUUUUUUUUUUUUUUGCACAUUGUACACAUUAUUCUGUUUCUAUUUAUUUGCUAUGAUUUGCUAUUUGUCAAGUAACAUUGCUUCACUCACUAUCCCGGGUUUGUCAUAAACUGUUUUAGUCGCUGAGGUUCCAUCAACAGCAUCACUGCUGAUGUUUUUCAGCAGCAGAGGAGAUCUGUGGUGUGGUUGGCAGGGCUGGCAUGUGCCUGAAGCCUGGAGGAGACGACAUCAGCUGUGUCACCACUGGGGGGCGCUGUUGGUGGUGGGAAUAUGGGAAAUCCACUUCAGCAUAAUCAACUCCAUUCAUGUCAUCGUUAGUCUGACAUCAAACUUCAGACUCUAAAUUAAAUGAUAAAGUUCCCCUCAGGGUGUUGAUGAAGCAGAAAUGAACAAAAUAAUGAAAAUAUCCAAAACACUAAAGCAAAACAAAUCAACUGUACCACAAAUAACAAUAAUCAUCGUCUCUAAAAAUAAUACUUAAUAACAAAUGAAAGAUUUUAUUAUUGGACUGUUUUUAUCUAGCUGUACCUAAUAAACUGGGACCAGAGAGUCCACAUUGACUUUAUGCAUUCCUCAUCAUUAAUAUUAGCUGGCAGAAAGAGAUGAUAUAGUAAAAAUCAAAGAGCUUAAAAUCAGACCACAGUUUUACUUUGUUGUGAGCAGAGGUGGAGAGGCUGCAGAGGUCUAUGUUUACAUCUCCAUCUGGUUGGAGGCUUU